rnacentral:lncRNA from 10 species
CAAAGUCUUACACAAAGUCUUGGGACUUGAAGACUGCUCUCAGCAAGGACCUAAGCAAAAUAAAUUUUUUUGAGAUAGGAUCUCACUCUGUCACCCAGGCUGAAGUGCAGUAGUGCAAUCAUGGCUUACUGUAGCCUUAACCUCCUGGGCUCAAGCAAUCCUCCUGCCUCAGCCUCUUGAGUAGCUGAGACUACAGGUGCAUACCACCAUGGCCAGAUCAUUUUUUUUUUUUUUUGUAGAGACCAAGUCUCGCCAGGUUGCUUAGGCUGAUCUCGAACUUCUGGUGCUCAAGCAGCCCUCCCGUGUUAGCCUCCCAAAAUGCUGAGAUUAUAAUUGUGAGCCACCACACUUGGUCUUAAGCAAAUAUUAACUCCAAUCACUAUCCUAAGCCAAGGUGUCUGAGCAGCUGAGGGAGGACCAGAGUGAAUGCAGCUAGUGCCACACUGAACAAACCACUCUUGCUCAUUCCUUAGGGAGGAGGACCUGGUUGAUAGAAGAAUUUAUCUCGUAGUCUUAACAUCCACUGUAAUUCCAAACUUUGAGGACGAUAGAGAUCAGUGGGCUUUGACUGCCCAGCAUGCAGUCUCCAUUCUUAGGUGGGUUCCCAAGCCUGUAAAAUGUAAGCCUUAUGCUGCUGAGGGCCAUCUUGCCACCCUGAGGGAAACGCUGCCUGAGAAUGAAACAAGCAUAAGUAAAAGCUGAGCUGUGAGAUGGAGCAAGAUGAAGGCCACAUGACAUCUUUGGAGCACCUGGAUCUAACUGUGCCUUAAGCUAGUCUAACCCUGAACAUUUCAUCAUUUCAUUGACAUGAGCCCAGGUUUUCUUUUUUUUUGGAUGGAGUCUUGCUCUGUCGCCCAGGCUGGAGUGCAGUAGCUCAAUCUCGGCUCACUGCAAGCUCCACCUCCCGGGUUCACGCCAUUCUCCUGCCUUAGCCUCCCAAGUAGCUGGGACAACAGGCGCCCACCACCACUCCCAGCUAAUUUUUUGUAUUUUUAGUAGAGACGGGGUUUUACCAUGUUAGCCGGGAUGGUCUUGAUCUCCUGACCUCAUGAUCCGCCCGCCUCGGCCUCCCAAAGUGCUGGGAUUACAGGUGUGAGCCACUGCACCCAGCCCUCAGGUUUUCCCUUUUUUUACCCCUCCUUUUGAAAAUUUGAUGUGGAAUUUUGCCACCUGCAGCCAGAAGAGUUUUAACUAAUCAGUGCCAUAAAUUUUAUAUAGUUCUCCUUGCAAAAUGUGGAUCAGCCUUUCUCAGCAAAUCCUUUGUCAUAAAGUGCUGAAUUGUAAGUUUGUCAUGAGAAUCACAUGAGAUCAUGCAUGUGAAGAACCUGGCAUUAUCCUCCUCAUAGAAAAAAACCAGUAAAUAUUAACUACAGGAAGCAAGGAAGGAGUGGGGUGAGGGGAAGAAGAAGGGGUACUGAUUUAAAAGAACCCUGGAGUCCUAAGGAUAAUCUAGGAACCCUCAGACCCAAUCCGAUACCCCUAUUCUAAAUGCUCCUAGUGCCCUGUACCUUCCCCUCAUAAGCCUUCAUUAUCAUUGUAAUGAUAUGUUUAUGUAAUAUUUUGAUUAAUGUCUCUCCUUCACUGACCUAGCAGUUCUAGCAGGGCAGUGAUUUUGCUGUGUUGCAUCCCCAGCACCUAGUCUGGUAUGUGGCAUUCAGCAUAUGUUUAUUGAAUGAAUGGCCAUGUGGUUAUUCAGAUCCUCCUUGAUUAUUGGGGUUAGGAUUGUGGCAGAAGUGGCAAAAUCAGGGAGAGUAGUCCCUGUCCCCUCUGUAUCUUAUACACUGCCCACACUCCCAACACACAUACACAUACAGAGAAUUUUGUCUCAAUUAGAUAAUUAACUUCUGCUUGGUUGUAAACCAAACCACUGGUUCUUAAACUUUCAUUGGAUCAUUUUAUUGAAGAAUUAAAUAGUGUGGUUCUGGCCUAAUGUCUGGAAAGCCUUGCAGAGGAGUGGAUUAGGUCUUUGUGAUAAACAGGCAGCCUUCCCUGCUCCUGUGUCUUUAUAAAAUCUAUUUAACUGGAGUAGUCCACCCUCCCUCAGGCUCUUACAGGAAUAUGUUGGAGGCUGUAGGAAGGUGGGAAACCGAGAGGGAAAGGACUGGGCCGCUGGAGACUUCACUCAUUCCCUAGCAAGAAACAAAAGCAGUAAAAGGUGGCCCGAGGACAACCUGAAGCUCACUCCUUCAGCACUUUUGGCUGGAGGUCACUUGUUGGAGCCCCACUCAGAGCUCAGCACACCACCCCACCAGCAGCCUCCUCCUCCCAGCUGAGGCUGCAUUUCAUCCCUUCCCCCAGCCUGCUUUCCCUGAGAUAGGGGAGUGUUUCCCAGGGCCCAUGUGACUUCCACUGGCAAGUGACGAUUACCAAUGGUUUACUAGUCAGUGAAACUACCAAAGGCUUUUGUGCUGUAGUAAUCCUUUUCCUGUUUAAAACUCUGGGGAUUUUCUAAUGUUGCCAAUAGUUUUUCAAGUCAGCAAUUACUGUGUGGAUUAUGUAAUGGCUCGGUAUUAAAAAUAGAAAAGACUGG